UACGGUGUCUGGGUUUGGGUGUGGCGUGUGCCUCUCUUUCUGGGUGUUGUGUGUCUUUGGGGGUUGUGACGAUGUCUCAGUGUGCUCUGGGGCGUGACACGAGAGGGGGUCUUUUCUAUUUGUGUGUCUAUAUUGUCCUUCUAUGGUUCUACCCACUGUCCAUCUUGUUCAGGUGUGGUCAGUUGUCAUGGUUCUCCAAUCCUGACUGGAUGAAGGCAGGAGUUCUUUAUUGAAUGGAUUGUGUGAUGGAUUCUAGAGCCAGAAAACCCGAGUUCAAAUUCUGACAGCCUCUUCCUGCCUUCAGCAAAUCACUAAGCUUCCCGGGACCUCCAUUUGUCCAUCUGCAAAAUGAGCUGUUGCAAAUAAAGUGGUUGAGAGGACUGGACGAGUUACCUCGUGCAAAGUGCUUAGAAUUGUGCCUCGCACACAGGAAGCAUUUUGUGUUUAUUCUGGUGAUGAUGGUGAGGUGCUGUUCUAGUCUCUGGAGAUAUUGGAGUCACGGAGUAGGAAAUGAAACCACGUCUGCAUCUGCUCGUGGGCCUGGUAGGGACUGAGUGAGUGGCCUCUCGGUGGCUGGAUGGGCGUGUAACUGCAUACCUGGGGUGUCUGUUUUGCAUGUGAAAUAGAAUAUUUCUGUGUUGUUAGUAAGGGUGAUUGAUUGUGUGCUUAUGUUUAUGUUUGUGUUUGUAGGUGACUCUGCGUGGUGCCUGUGAUUCUCUGACUGUGUGGGUGCAAAUGAAGGUCACACUGAGCAGGCGGGCCUGACUUGAAGGACGCUAGCUGUGAUAAGCCCUCCUUGACGUCAAUCACCAUCCUCCAGCCAGUAGACGCUCCGCCUUCUACCUCCCUGGGCCACUCAAGGCACGUUCCGCGGCAGGCGGGACCCACAGCCUAAAUCCGACAGCGAUAGGCUCUGGGAGACGCCAGUCUCCGCGAGUCUCUGCCAGUCUGCCAAUAGGACGGGCAGCUGCGGGGUGGGAUUCCCACGGCGCACCGCAGAGGCUGGAACUGCUCGCGAGGGAAACAGGUUCGGCGUGUCCAGUCGGAACAAAACCAAACCGACGGGCGAGGUAGGGCCAGGCCCCCCGCCCUGCGUCGGUCACAGCAGCAGUAGAAGGCAAUGAUGGAGUGCAGCUCUGGCUGUCUACGGAGACUGGUUUGUGUGCUCCCUCCCCCGCCCCCCUGGCCAGGGUCUCAGCUUGCGGCCCCGCCUCCCCCCUCCCCCCCCACAAGUCGUCCCCCCACCUUAAGGCACAGCUUGCCCCUCCCGCCCACCCCCCACCCGGAGGGAGGGCCGGAUGGGCCAGAAGCCCCUCGCGGGGGUCCCCGCCGCCUAACGGGGGGCGGGGGGUAAGGGGGAUAUUUACCACGGAGGCCGGCUUAGAUGGAAA